UUUAUGGAGAGUUUGAUCCUGGCUCAGGACGAACGCUGGCGGCGUGCCUAAUACAUGCAAGUCGAGCGAACAGACAAGGAGCUUGCUCCUUUGACGUUAGCGGCGGACGGGUGAGUAACACGUGGGUAACCUACCUAUAAGACUGGGAUAACUUCGGGAAACCGGAGCUAAUACCGGAUAAUAUUUCGAACCGCAUGGUUCGAUAGUGAAAGAUGGUUUUGCUAUCACUUAUAGAUGGACCCGCGCCGUAUUAGCUAGUUGGUAAGGUAACGGCUUACCAAGGCGACGAUACGUAGCCGACCUGAGAGGGUGAUCGGCCACACUGGAACUGAGACACGGUCCAGACUCCUACGGGAGGCAGCAGUAGGGAAUCUUCCGCAAUGGGCGAAAGCCUGACGGAGCAACGCCGCGUGAGUGAU
rnacentral:rRNA from 1 species